GAAUAUUAGUCAAUGGCCUAACGGCUGAACUGGCAACUUGGAGAAGUGGCAAGUCUUCCAGUAUGGGGAGCAAAACAGCUAUGGGUCAAGUCCGAUAUCUUUAGGAGAAGUCUUAUUGUGAGGGCGAGUUAUAUAACACCAUAGGACUGGCCGUCCCAUAUGAAAAGAUUAUAUUAGAAUUGAAUGAAGCUUUGUUUAUAUAUUGAUAAUGACAGUAUAUAUAUCGUGUCUUGACUAAUUGCGUGCCAGCAGUCGCGGUAAUACGUAAGAGACUAGUGUUAUUCAUCUUAAUUAGGUUUAAAGGGUACCCAGACGGUCAAUAUAGCUUAUAAAAUGUUAGUACUUGACUAGAGUUUUAUGUAAGAGGGCAGUACUUGAGGAGGAGAGAUGAAAUUUCGUGAUACCAAAGGGACUCUGUAAAGGCGAAGGCAGCCCUCUAUGUAAAAACUGACGUUGAAGGACGAAGGCACAGAGAACAAACAGGAUUAGAUACCCAAGUAGUCUUUGCAGUAAAUGAUGAAUGCCAUAGGUUAGAUUGGUCAAUUAUAGUCUAGGGUUAGUCUAGCAAACUAAUACCCUAUGCUAUAAUCCUAAUAUCUGGUCUAUAAAUGAAAGUGUAAGCAUUUCACCUCAAGAGUAAUGUGGCAACGCAGGAACUGAAAUCACUAGACCGUUUCUGACACCAGUAGUGAAGUAUGUUAUUUAAUUC
rnacentral:rRNA from 1 species